rnacentral:rRNA from 1 species
GUCGUACGGGUGCGUAACACGUAUGCAACCUACCCUUUACAGGAGGAUAGCUCGGGGAAACUCGGAUUAACCCUCCAUAAGAUCGUGGUGAGGCAUCUCACAGCGAUAAAAACUACAGGUGGUAAAGGAUGGGCAUGCGACUGAUUAGUUAGUUGGCGGGGUAACGGCCCACCAAGACGAUGAUCAGUAGGGGAACUGAGAGGUUGAUCCCCCACACUGGCACUGAGAUACGGGCCAGACUCCUACGGGAGGCAGCAGUAGGGAAUAUUGGUCAAUGGGUGAGAGCCUGA